AAAAGCCUCAGUUCACACGUAGUAGGAAUUACUUGCCCUUCUUAAAGAUAAAGUCCUAUUUCUAGUUCCAACCAAGUGUCAUGGAGGAGUGUGCUGAGUUGAAGGUCAUUAUGUUUCUGCGGCACAGCAGAUACAACCUCUGUUUCCUGGUGUUUAGCUCUUAUGCAUUGUGAAGGAGAGAAGGAAGGGACAAUACAUAUUGAGUUGCUGGAGAAGAGCUCUAUUCUUUCUUUUAUUCAACUGAGUGAAGAUUCCUGAGAGACAGAAAUUGUGGAAAAUAGUGAAUAAGGUGCUCUCCUGGGUCUCUGGCAAUCUGCUGCCUUCUAAUUGGUGCAGAUGCGAGUAGGAAGAUGAGCAGAGCACACUAGGGAGGAAGCAGAUUCUCCUGAUACAAGAAGACAGCCUUCUACAAGCCAGGAAGUUGGCCUUUACCAGGCACUGGAUCUAUUGGCACUUUGAUCUUGGACUUCCCAACCUCCA